AUCUUUAAGUGUUUGAUUGGCAAUUUUUUCUAAGCAAUUGGUUUUCUAGCUUCACCAUCACGUGAUCAAGUUUUCCACCAUUUGUGGAAUUGCAAUUCUUAUGGGGUUAGGUGAGAAAGUGGGUUUUCCAGGUUUAUUAUUAUUAUUAUUAUUAUUUCGCAAUGGAAACAAAUUUUAUCUAUAAUUGUAAUAAAUUUUAUCUCUUUAAUUGACAAUUUUCAUGUAAAACAAAGCUAAAUGACACCAAAAGAUCUAAAAUUUCAAUAUUUUUCAGAUGAAAAAUUAUAUCAAUCAAACACGUUUAAUUUAAAUUUUCAGUAAAACAAAUUUUAGACAAUUCAAUUUCCUAAAAUUCAUUUUUUUCUAUCCAAAUUUGAUUCUUACAAUUAAACGGACCCUAAAUAAUCUUUUGAAAUUGUUUACUUAUCAUAAGUAGUUUAUCAAACGUGCAGAAACCUUUACAUGGUAAGGCUACAAGACACUAUUGUCUGAAACUUUUGUCUCUGCAGCAUUGGUUUUAGCAGUUGUCUCAUUUCUGCUGAGAAGUGGCAGAUUUGGCAUACAUAUAUAGUUGAGUCACUUCAGUUUCUGGUCAUCUUCUGCACUUGUUCUUGCAGCUGAAAUUAAAACGUUAAAUAAUUUUGUUUCUUUUCACCCAAAAAAAAAAAAAAGGUUAUUAAGAAAGGUGAAUUAAAAUUCAUAUGUGAUCUAGCUAGCUUUGGGGGAGAUUGAUUUAGGUUUGCGUUUAUUAAAGGAGAGAAGAAUUUCACUAUUACGAUAAUGGAUAUUUGAUGAGGGCAUGCAUUUUCGAAAUGAUACUAGACAUACAUGUGAAAAAGAAUUUAAAUUCUUUUUUGUUUUUUUAAUAAUUCGAUUCUAUGUGACUCAUUUUAACCAUAAACUUCUAUUUUUUAUUUUUAUGAAAUCAAUUGAUAUUUUUUUGGGGGAAAAAUCACAUAUCCACUAUUGCAACAUAGCAAUUCCCAGACACUAGGUUUCAAAAUUCAAAAGUCAAGUUUCUAUUUUAAUUUUAAUUAAUAAUAUUAUCAAAUUAAAUUAAUCUAUCUAUACUAACUUCACUAAACAACCACCCCUAACCCACUCGUCGACGACUUCUUUGACAGCGAAUUGAACUCAGUCGAUCGAUCAUCUGAAUGCCGUUGUGCCCAACCUUGUUGGUCGGAGCUCUGGUGAUAACGGUGCAAGACUAAGAGAGUGAGAGAUGAGAGGGAGCCCGAGCAAGUAAGAGAUAGAGA
rnacentral:lncRNA from 1 species